rnacentral:rRNA from 1 species
UACGUAGGGUGCAAGCGUUUAAUCGGAAUUACUGGGCGUAAAGCGUGCGCAGGCGGUUAUGCAAGACAGAUGUGAAAUCCCCGGGCUUAACCUGGGAACCGCAUUUGUGACUGCAUAGCUGGAGUACGGCAGAGGGGGGAUGGAAUUCCGCGUGUAGCAGUGAAAUGCGUAGAUAUGCGGAGGAACACCGAUGGCGAAGGCAGUCCCCUGGGCCUGUACUGACGCUCAUGCACGAAAGCGUGGGGGAGCAAACAGG